rnacentral:rRNA from 1 species
GACGAACGCUGGCGGCGUGCUUAACACAUGCAAGUCGAACGGAAAGGCCCUGCUUGCAGGGUACUCGAGUGGCGAACGGGUGAGUAACACGUGGGUGAUCUGCCCUGCACUUCGGGAUAAGCCUGGGAAACUGGGUCUAAUACCGGAUAGGAGCCAUUUUUAGUGUGAUGGUUGGAAAGUUUUUUCGGUGUAGGAUGAGCUCGCGGCCUAUCAGCUUGUUGGUGGGGUAAUGGCCUACCAAGGCGGCGACGGGUAGCCGGCCUGAGAGGGUGGACGGCCACAUUGGGACUGAGAUACGGCCCAGACUCCUACGGGAGGCAGCAGUGGGGAAUACUGCACAAUGGGCGCAAGCCUGAUGCAGCGACGCCGCGUGGGGGAUGACGGCCUUCGGGUUGUAAACUCCUUUCGCUAGGGACGAAGCUUUUUGUGACGGUACCUAGAUAAGAAGCACCGGCUAACUACGUG